rnacentral:rRNA from 1 species
UUCGAUGCAACGCGAAGAACCUUACCUGGUCUUGACAUCCCGGAGACCCUUAGGAAACUAGGGGGUGCUUCCAUCUGAAGAAUCUGGAGACAGGUGCUGCAUGGCUGUCGUCAGCUCGUGUCGUGAGAUGUUGGGUUAAGUCCCGCAACGAGCGCAACCCUUGCCUUUUAGUUGCCAGCAGUUCGGCUGGGCACUCUAAAGGGACUGCCGGUGUUAAACCGGAGGAAGGUGGGGAUGACGUCAAGUCCUCAUGGCCUUUAUGACCAGGGCUACACACGUACUACAAUGGCCGAUACAAAGGGCAGCGACACUGCGAGGUGAAGCCGAUCCCGUAAAAUCGGUCUCAGUCCGGAUUGGAGUCUGCAACUCGACUCCAUGAAGUUGGAAUCGCUAGUAAUCGUGGAUCAGCAUGCCACGGUGAAUACGUUCCCGGGCCUU